CGGUGGAGCAUGUGGUUUAAUUCGAAGCAACGCGAAGAACCUUACCAGGUCUUGACAUCCCGAUGCUAUUCUAGAGAUAGAAAGUUACUUCGGUACAUCGGUGACAGGUGGUGCAUGGUUGUCGUCAGCUCGUGUCGUGAGAUGUUGGGUUAAGUCCCGCAACGAGCGCAACCCUUAUUGUUAGUUGCCAUCAUUCAGUUGGGCACUCUAGCGAGACUGCCGGUAAUAAACCGGAGGAAGUGGGGAUGACGUCAAAUCAUCAUGCCCCUUAUGACCUGGGCUACACACGUGCUACAAUGGUUGGUACAACGAGUUGCGAGUCGGUGACGGCGAGCUAAUCUCUUAAAGCCAAUCUCAGUUCGGAUUGUAGGCUGCAACUCGCCUACAUGAAGUCGGAAUCGCUAGUAAUCGCGGAUCAGCACGCCGCGGUGAAUACGUUCCCGGGCCUU
rnacentral:rRNA from 1 species